GAUCCUGGCUUAGGACGAACGCUGGCGGCGCGCCUAACACAUGCAAGUCGAACGGUGAAGAGGAGCUUGCUCCUCGGAUCAGUGGCGGACGGGUGAGUAACACGUGAGCAACCUGGCUCUAAGAGGGGGACAACAGUUGGAAACGACUGCUAAUACCGCAUAACGUAUCGGGAUGGCAUCUUCCUGAUACCAAAGAUUUUAUCGCUUAGAGAUGGGCUCGCGUCUGAUUAGAUAGUUGGG
rnacentral:rRNA from 1 species